GGCUCCUCCCCUUUCUCCUGCCAUGUUUCUUCUCCCCGCCCCCUCGCCUCUGGCUCCUCCCCCUUUUCCCUAUCGCGUUCCUCCUUUGCAGCCCCCAUCCCCCUCCUCUGGCUCCUCUUCUUCCCUACCGCGAUCCUCCUUCCAGACCCCGGCCCCCAGCCCGCCUCUAGCUCCUUCCCUUAUUUCCUGCCGCGCUCCUCCUUCCCGACACCGCCCCUCCGCCUCUGGCUACUCCUCUUCUCUCCUGCCGCACUCCUCCUUCCCGGCCCCACCUCCCCGCCUCUGGCUCAUCCCCUUCUCUUCUGCCGCCCUCCUCCUUCCCGGCCCCGCCCCCAGUCUUUGGCUCCUCCCCCUACCCUGCCGCGCUCCUCCUUCCCGGCCCCUCCCCGCUGCCCUCUUCUGGCUCCUCCCCCCCACCCGCCUCUGGCUCCUCUCCUUCCCACCCCUGCCGUGCUCCGGCAGGAAGAGGUGGUGCCAGGGCCGUUGCUAGGAUACGACCAACAGCUGAGAACGCGGCGAGUAUGGAAGCUGCGUCUUAGGAGCCUGGGAAAGCACUUCGACGAGAAUAGUUUGGUUUCGUACACAGGAAAAUGUCUAAUCAACAGGAGAAGUAUGAAGCUCAGAAUAUAGUCAAUUCAACAGAAGAGAGUGAUGAUGCUUUUGAUACUGUCACUAUUCCAGUUCCCUCAGAAGAGCCUCAAGAGUCAGAUCAAACUGAAGAGCAUGAAUCUGGAAUAGAACAAUUCAGUGAGAGCCAUGCAAUACAUGUUGAGGAGCAGAGUGACCAAAGCUUUUCAAGCCUGGAACCAGACAAUGAACAACUCAUGGAAGAGGUUAUAUCACCAAGACAAGUUUCAUAUACUCCGCAACAUCAUGAAAAGCAAUAUGCAAUGCAGAGGCCAAAUGAUGAUAGUUUGGCAUUUCUGGAUAAAAUAAAGUCUGUAAAGGAAUCUUUGCAAGAAUCAGUGGAAGAUUCUCUAGCAACAGUAAAAGUUGUACUUAUUCCAGUGGGCCAGGAAAUUGUAAUACCUUUUAAGGUUGAUACCAUUCUUAAAUAUCUUAAGGACCAUUUUUCACACUUAUUAGGUAUCCCACAUUCUGUACUGCAGAUAAGAUACUCAGGAAAAAUUCUUAAAAAUAAUGAGACUCUAGUACAACAUGGAGUUAAGCCACAGGAAAUUGUACAAGUGGAAAUCUUUUCUACAAAUCCAGAUCUGUAUCCAGUCAGAAGAAUAGAUGGAUUAACUGAUGUCUCUCAAAUCAUAACUGUCACUGUCCAAACUGGUUCGUUAUUUGAUGUCUUUUAGAUAAAGUAUUUUUGAGUCCCUUCUUGGUUGAGCUUUCAUUGAAUCUUGGUGUUAUCUCUCAGGACUUGAUCAAUACCAGCAGGUACCUGUUGAGAUUGUCAAAUCUGACUUUCACAAACCAUUUCUUGGUGGAUUCAGACAUAAAGUAACAGGAGUAGAGUAUCACAAUGCUGGAACACAAACUGUACCUAAAAGGAUUCCCGAAAGACUCAGUAUAUUUUGUAGGGAUACGCAGGUAAUGUUUUUAUUUGUCUCUUUAGGUUUUUGAAGGUAUAGACUCAAUAAUUGUACUGUAUGACUCUCUCAAAUUUCUCUUAAGUAAUUAUAUGGCAAUUAAUAAAAGAAAAUGAACUCACAUAUGUAGAAAAACUCCCUUAUGUAUAUAUAUAGGGGAUACUGAUUUAAAUUUUUAAUGUUUUCUUUUAGACAGUUUUUCAGAAAAAAAAUCUCCAACAAACUACAAAUACAACAUCCACACAGAUGACUAACAUUGGUGUAUAUGUAUCAAAUAUGACUGAUAAACUGGUAACACCAGGAAAGUAUUUUUCAGCAGCAGAAUACCAUGCUCAAAGACUAAAGGCGGUGAGAUAACUUUUAUUGUGGAUGAAUACUAAAAAUUUGAUAUAUAAGCCAGUUGUUCCGAGUGUGUCUCUUUCUCCAAGCCACAUUUGCUUGAGAAAGAAUGCUCAUGAGUAUGGGUCAUAUUUCACUGCUAACAAAGCAGUCUUUAUCUCCAGUAUUCCCCCAUGUAAAGAACCAGCAUCCUAAAUGCUCCUAAUCCUUCCUUUUCUCUUAGGGAAACCCAGCUUCUUUGUGUAUUGCCUUUGGCCAUUAUUAGCCUUCUCAACACUGCUGUCCCUUGGCCUUAAAUCUUGUCACAGUAGAAUCACCAAGGGAACUUUCGAGACUAAUUGAAACCAAAUAGGACAGUAGUCGAUUUUCUCUGAUAUUAACAUAGCCGCUCCAACUCUGUUUUAUUUUUUUGCAUAGUCUCUCAUUUUUCAUUCUUUUACUUUCAACCUAUUUGAUCUACCUCCUACCAUCAAUUUACUGUGAGUAAAAAUGACCUGAAAGCAGUGACUUUAAGAGAUUUUGCUUUUCAAAUGACAAGAAAUCUGGAGCUAGGCUAUUCAGCCCAAGACCUUUAGAGACAAACUUGUAGUGAAAAAAAGUUAAGUCUGUUGACUUAAUUGCCCUGAAGGAGACAGUAUACCAGGGGAACCAUGGGGUUAACUUUAUAGCAGGCUUUAUCAGUGCCAGUUAUUCCAGCCUGAUAAUUUUUUACUUUUUCAGUCCAAACUAAAUUUCACCAAAUAAAGGAAUAUAUGGAGUUAUUAUAUAAUUUGGGGAAGAGUGAAGUUUGAGUGGGAUUUAGGGGAAGCAGUAUUCUGAUUGUCUCAAUGCAAAACAAGGGUGUGUAUAAAUGGGCCAACAUUAGGUCUGGACUGUGAAGUAGACCAAGGUCACGUUCCUUUGGAAACAAAGUUAAAAGAGAUGGGAAAUGUUUCUUAGAAGUUCUCUGAAGUUCAGCACCUUGGUUGUAUAAUUGAGGCUGCUUCUCUCUGUCAAAGUGACGUGCAACCUCUAGGCAAGAGUGGAAUGUUUGUUUCUUACUGAUCUAAUUUCAGACAGGAAAGUUUCUGAUAGUUUCUGAAUUUAGAGAACGAAGUUUCUCAGUGAGUAAGAAGAUAGCAGUCACUAAAAGAAGGGGAUUGUUGAAAUAUUUUAUAGUUGUAGAGUGUCCUUGGGAGAAAUACUGUUUUUGUUAAUUUUGUAGCUGACCUGAUUAGUGCCUGUUAUUCCAGCCUGACAAUUUUUUACUUUCUCAGUCUUAAUUAAUUUUUACUUUCUUACUAUACUGGGCAUGGGUGGUGACUCUAUGAUGUCAUCAGAAUCAUAAACUCCUUUCAUCUUUCUACUCCAUUAAGCUCAUCAUGAGCUUGUUACUGUAUGAAGAUAAAAUGGUUGACUAACUUUCAUCAUGCCUGCAUUCCAUGUGAGAAGAAGGGAAAAGUCAAGGCAGCAUGUUCCAUGAAUGCCACCUUCAAGGAUUUCCCCGGAAAGCCCCACCCAGUGACUUCUACUUGCAUCCCAUUGGCUUGAACUAUGUCAUGUGACUAU
rnacentral:lncRNA from 1 species